GCAGUGGUGGUGCACUGGUAGAAUUCUCGCCUGCCACGCGGUAGACCUGGGUCCGAUUCCUGGCCAAUGCA
rfam:Danio rerio chromosome 4, GRCz11 reference primary assembly.